rnacentral:rRNA from 1 species
GACGUAGGGCGCGAGCGUUGUCCGGAUUUAUUGGGCGUAAAGAGCUCGUAGGCGGCUUGUCGCGUCGUCCGUGAAAACUUGGGGCUCAACCCCAAGCUUGCGGUCGAUACGGGCAGGCUCGAGUUCGGUAGGGGAGACUGGAAUUCCUGGUGUAGCGGUGAAAUGCGUAGAUAUCGAGAGGAACACCUGCGGCGAAGGCGGGUUGCUGGGCCGACACUGACGCUGAUGCGCGAAAGCCAGGGGAGCGAACGGG